AGAUUGAACGCUGGCGGCAUGCCUUACACAUGCAAGUCGAACGGUAGAGUAGCAAUACUUGAGAGUGGCGAACGGGUGAGUAAUAUAUCGGAACGUGCCCAGUCGUGGGGGAUAACGUAGAGAAAUUUACGCUAAUACCGCAUACGAUCUAAGGAUGAAAGCGGGGGACCGUAAGGCCUCGCGCGAUUGGAGCGGCUGAUAUCAGAUUAGGUUGUUGGUGAGGUAAAAGCUCACCAAGCCGACGAUCUGUAGCUGUUUGAGAGAACGACCAGCCACACUGGGACUGAGACACGGCCCAGACUCCUACGGGAGGCAGCAGUGGGGAAUUUGGACAAUGGGCGAAAGCCUGGAUCCAGCAAUGCCGCGUGCGAGGAAGAAGGGCCUUCGGGUUAGUAAACGUGUCUUUUGUACGGAACGAAACGGUACGUGU
rnacentral:rRNA from 1 species